AUAUUGCACAAUGGGGGAAACCCUGAUGCAGCGACGCCGCGUGAGCGAAGAAGGCCUUCGGGUCGUAAAACUCUGUCCUAAGGGAAGAAACGGACGGUACCUAAGGAGGAAGCCCCGGCUAACUACGUGCCAGCAGCCGCGGUAAUACGUAGGGGGCAAGCGUUGUCCGGAAUUAUUGGGCGUAAAGGGUGCGUAGGCGGCCUUUUAAGUCAGGUGUGAAAGCCCACGGCUUAACCGUGGGAUUGCAUUUGAAACUGUGUAGCUUGAGUGCAGGAGAGGAAAGUGGAAUUCCUAGUGUAGCGGUGAAAUGCGUAGAGAUUAGGAGGAACACCAGUGGCGAAGGCGACUUUCUGAACUGUAACUGACGCUGAGGUACGAAAGCGUGGGUAGCGAACA
rnacentral:rRNA from 1 species